UACGUAGGGGGCAAGCGUUGUCCGGAAUUACUGGGCGUAAAGAGUUCGUAGGCGGUUUGUCGCGUCGUUUGUAAAAACCAGCAGCUCAACUGCUGGCUGGCAGGCGAUACGGGCAGACUUGAGUACUGCAGGGGAGACUGGAAUUCCUGGUGUAGCGGUGAAAUGCGCAGAUAUCAGGAGGAACACCGGUGGCGAAGGCGGGUCUCUGGGCAGUAACUGACGCUGAGGAACGAAAGCGUGGGGAGCGAACAGG
rnacentral:rRNA from 1 species